UGUUAACAAUACAUGUCUCAUUGUAAACCAGGCUGUAAUAGUGCUAUUCCCAGGCUUAAAGCCUGAUUGGUUUACGUUAACAAUACAUGUCUCAUUGUAAACCAGGUUGCCAGUCCGGGCCUAAGCCUGUGUUCCUGGCCUUGACCCAAGCAUCAUUUAUUUAAUGAAUUAUUUCUGAACAGGAUACCACCUCCUAAUGUGCUACAGUGUGUACAGUCUGAACAAGAUACCUCCUCCUAAUGUACUGCAGUGUGUACAGUCUGAACAGGUACAAAACCAAGGUUGGUGAUUUACUGCUACCUGCAGUUAUGGAAUGUUAUCUCAGGACUAUAAAUUCAUUGGUUGACUCCUCCUCCUGACCUCCUCCUGACCUGGAUGGAAUUAUACGACCUGGAUAUAGUGCACUACAUUUGACCAUGAUUUUUGGAAUGAGAUGUUGGACGAGCAGGUGUCACACUACAUCGGUUGCCACUACAAACGUAUCUUCCUUUAUCUACUACCAAACAUAGAAACGCUCCAUUUUCACAUCUGCUGAUAUUGGGUUGGUGCUUGAGGUUAUGAAUAUGUAGUAGAAUGUUUUUGAAAUGUCCCUUUAAAAGGUACGUAUGCCCAUGUACACGACUAACAUUUAAAUGUAAAACAGUUGACAGUAGCAUAAUCUAUAUUUGACUUGAGCUGAAUACUGGGGCUGAGUCUACAUAUUGUACAUACUGGGGCUGAGUCUACAUAUAGUAUAUACUGGGGCUGUGUCUUUAUAUAGUACAUACUGGGGCUGAGUCUACAUAUAGUAUAUACUGGGGCUGAGUCUAUAUGUAGUAUAUACUGGGGGUUGAGUCUAUAUAUAGUAUAUACUGGGGGCUGAGUCUAUAUAUAUUAUAUACUGGGGCUGAGUCGAUAUAGUAUAUACUGGGGGCUGAAUGUCCCAAAUGGCGCGCUAUUCACCCUGUAGUGCACUACUUUCGACUAUGGGCCCUAUUCUGUAGUGCACUACAUUUGACUAUGGGCCCUAUUCUGUAGUGCACUACUUUUGACUAUGGGCCCUAUUCUGUAGUGCACUGCAUUUGACCAUGGGCCCAAUUCAGUUGUGGAUAUUUUUUUAUACCUGAUUAAACUCAGUAGAAGGGCUGGUUUGUAUUGACAUAAAAUGUAUUGUUAUGUCAUGAUGGAACCGGUGUUCCUUUCAGGGUUUGGAACCUGAAAGUAUUUUCCAAUUAUUUUGUUCUGAACAGAACUGUUAUUGUUUUUUUGUUCCAUUCCAGCAAAGUAAAGUUCUGAAACAUGACACGCUGGGCAUCUUGUUGUUAUGACAUGUAUUAUCUGUUAUGACAUGUAUUAUCUGUUAUGACAUGUAUUAUCUGAAUUAGGUCCAGGGAAGUAUACCUACGGAGGAGCGGCAAAUUCUUAUCAAUGACAGCCUAGGAACAGUGGGUUCAACUGCCUGUUCAGGGGCAGAACGACAGAUUUGUACCUUGUCAGCUCGGGGGUUUGAACUUGCAACCUUCUGGUUACUAGUCCAACGCUCUAACCACUAGGCUGCCCAGGGAAGUAUACCUACGGAGGAGCGGCUUCUAUGAUGAAACUUUGAAUGUCUUUGAACUUCAGAGAGUUGGCUUUAACUAACGUUGGACCAGAACUAUCCCUUAAUCAUGACUCUCAGUUCCAUUACAGUACAGAUAAUGCCUCCUAGAGUUUUGGAAAGCUAGACCAGAGCUAGCUAACAAGCUAUCUAGCUAACAAGCUUGUGUGUGCAGAACAGCACCAGAAUUCAAAUAAAAUCUUACCUUUUUCAUAGUUAAUGAAUCCAAUGUGAAAAGUGAUAACUAUAGUAUCCUUAACUAGCAUUGAAAUAGUUCAUCAAUGUUCUCUAAUUAAACCUCUCUCUCCGUAAUGUCUGAAUCACGCCUGUAAUGUCAGUAGGUACAGUAGACUAUGCAUGCUUCGGUGGGAGGGGAGGGGGAAUGUAGCCUACACACUGGCAAAUAUUUUCAGCAGGCAGACACUGGAAUACGUUUCUGAGUGUAUAGGGACUGAAGAAAAAAAGCCUGGAAUGUAAAAGAACAUUAUUAGCCAGUUCCCAUACUUUUAACAUCACUGUUCUGUUCCGGAACAGUAUAGAUCCCUUUCGUUGUCAGUUCUGGUUCUGUUCCUUGAAAUUACGGUUUUCUUUUCUGUUCCCUGAACUGGUUCCAACCCCUGGUUUAGAAUAUUGUUCUGUUCCGGAACAGUAUAGAUCCCUUUCGUUGUCAGUUCUGGUUCUGUUCCUUGAAAUUCCGUUUUUCUUUUCUGUUCCCUGAACUGGUUCCAACCCCUGGUUUAGAAUAUUGUAAAGUAUCCAUUAAUUAAAUAAUAAAUGCUAACAAA